rnacentral:misc_RNA from 1 species
CUUUCUUUUUUCUAUUGCCUUACAAAACUUCUUAAUUAUUGGCUUAUUGCCUGUACAACAUAGUAUGAAGGGCAGGAGUCAAAAUCAGACUAUUAUUGCUCCGCCUUGUGGAGAACAAAAAAGAAUGAAAGAAUUUCAAAACCGUUAUACCUCCCCAGUAACCUGUACAAAACCUAUUCAUCUAUAAAACAAUUAAAGAAAGAUUUACAGAGAUAUAUACACCAUGUACUGGUUAGUCUUCCAGGCGUUGUAUCUCACCCAUCAUGAUACGGUUGCUGGAAACCUUGAAGCCAAGAAGAGCAGGAUCUAUCUGCCUUCCCUUCUUUCCUUUCUUUUUCGCACUUUGUGCUGCUUGUGAACCAUCAGAUGACUCCAGAGCAGCCACAUUAGCUGCAUCAGCCUCAGAAAGAACUGAUUUUUUAAGCACAUCUAUAAAUGAUGUCUCUGACACAGUAGCAUCACUGUAAGAAGAGGUCCUCCUAAAACGCAUUUCUUUCUUCCCAGAUGCCUGCAUUUCACCAACCGAGGCUGCUGCUACAUUCCCCUCAGACAAAUGCCUUUUUUCAUUAGAAGUUGGAAGGUUCAUUGUGCUUCUCUGCUUGACAUUUGAAGCGGAGGCCAAGUCUGGCAAACCAUCCUCGGAAGAUAAUCCCCGUGAUACGGGCAGACGUUUAUGUAAAGUAUUAUCAACCCCUUUGGUUGGUAUAGAAGGUACACUAUCAUUAGAAACCUCCCCUCCAGAUGAUAUAUUGUUUCCCAUCUUGCAGCUGUAGAUGCCUUGAUUUCCGCCAGCAAUGCUUAGCAAACUAUGCCUGCUUGGUAUCCUCCCCAAAUCCGUUGCAGCUUCUGCCUGCUCAACCAAGUUGUCUUCAAUUUGUGAAGCUGACCUGCACAUUGGAACCAUAGCUUUGGACCCAUAUAUACUUCCCUUUCUUUCCAGUUCUGGCAAGUCUUCGUCCAAUGUUGAUUUACCAAUAAAUCUGGCAUCCACAUAACUAGUAUGAGAAGGAUCUCUUGCGCCUGACAAGAAUGUCUGUUCUUCAAUUAGUGCUCCAGAAUUUGACUUUGAGAGCAAUCUUUCACCAUUUUGACCACU